UUGUUCGGAAUUACUGGGCGUUAAGGGCGCGUAGGCGGUUUAAUCUUUUUGGAGUGAAAUCCCGGGGCUUAACCCUGGAACUGCUUCUUAUACUGUUAGGCUAGAGUAUGGUAGAGGGUGAUGGAAUUUCUAGUGUAGAGGUAAAAUUCUUAGAUAUUAGAAGGAACACCAGUGGUGAAAGCUGUCAUCUGGGCCAUUACUGACGCUGAGGCGCGAUAGCGUGGGGAACCAACAGGAUU
rnacentral:rRNA from 1 species